GGAUUUUGUUUUUAUGUUU
rnacentral:miRNA from 1 species